rnacentral:lncRNA from 1 species
GAGGGCGAGGAGAAGGGAAGGGGGGAGGGACGGGGGAAGCAGGUAAUACACGGGGUGGGAACACGGCACAGUGACGCCUCCCUCAUCAGUCACAAACCAGUCGCAUGACAGAGGCCGUUCAUAUGGUGGCUGACGCUCGUUGGUGGCACCGCGCGGACAGGAGGAAAAGGAAUAGUGUGUUGUUGUCAGUGCGUGGCUCAGUGAUGAGGCAGUGAUGAAAAGCCAGGAUGAUGAUGACAACAAGCACAACCCCCGAAAAGCGCGCGACGUGAACGGACCCGAUCGGAGCGUGGCGACCACCUGUGCGACAGCGUGUGGCGGCGGCGUUGGCGGCGUUGGCUGCACCGGCUGCGGCGGCGGCGGCGGCGGCAGCGGCGGCGUCGUGCGAUGGCGCUCAACCUGCUGAACAAGGACCGCGCCAACAACGUCCCCAAAGCCAAGAAGGACAGGUGGCCCUUCUGGUUCUUCUUCACCCGCAGGAAGAAGCGAACGCCGGAGAAGUCUGAAAACGGAAGAUAAGACGUGAUCCUUUGCACAUAGAACCAUGAAUAAGCGACACCUGUCUGCGUUCACCUCGCGGAGUAAGAUGCGUCAGGCAGUGGG